GCUGGACUACAGGCGUGAGCCACCAUGCCCGGCCUUAACCAGGCAACUUCUAAUGUCCCACUAGGCUUCAAAACACUGUCACUCCUGGCAUGCUUGACUUUCCCUGGUGACAGUGCUGGCAGGGACUGUCCUCCCUGAGUCUAGGUGUGGUAGAAGACACACAGGCCCAUCCACGCAGCCUCUCAUUCUGUGCACACGCAAAGGCAGCUCUCGUGGUCGCAUUUUCAGUUUGGGGAGUUGUCAUGUUGGUAACUGUAGGCCUUAGACUUAAGGGACAUUCGAGGAGGGAGUGACCCCCUUUCGUGGUGGACACAACACCCUAAAUGGCUAGCCUCAGCUCUUCCUCCCUGGCAGGCCCCAUCUAUGCUGACCGCCCUGGUGGGGUUCUGAGCUGUACACCCCAACCCCUUACUCUGCCAAUAAGAAAGAGUGGCUUCCAUGUUUCUGCACACUUCCUUGCCAGCAGGGUUGUGUUUUGCUUCUAGACUGGCAGCGUCCACAGCCCUCUCACCAGUGAGCACCUCUGACGGCUCCACAUCCCAUCUGCCCCAUUGUUGUGGCUGUGAGAGCUGUUCAGGGUUGGUGGAAUGACCACCACAGCAGAUGGGCAUUGAGUGCAGGGUCCCUGCCCUUCCAGGCAGCUUACUUUCAAAGGCACGGCCAUUCCACAACACGCUUCUCCUCCUGGAUCUACCUACAGCAAAGCUGGGACUAUUGGCAUGGAUUUCCUAAGACUUGCUUUCAUUUCGAAAUUGUUUUUAAGAAAGAAAAAGUAAAAGCAGCUCCGCACAAUGGAAAAGCUACUUUGCAUCUCAUCUCCAAGUGGAGCUGACCUGGAUAGUCAUCCCCUGGUUCCUAGGUCUGGCCAUCGGAUCCUAGAACUUGCAACUGAGAAGGGGGAGACCUGGCUUCCAUGUAGAGGACACACGAUUUCCUCCCCUCUGAGGGGGCUCGUGAGGGUGACUGUCGGGCCUCUCCUGGAGCCUCAGAGAAGGACUCACUUGUCUGUGGGUGAAUUUGGAAGGAGAACCUGGGCAUACAGAGCCCAGCCCUUUGGCUCACUCUUCCUCUUGGGAGCUGACCCGCCCACUGCUCUAUCUCUUCCAGCCAUGCAUGUUGUGGGGCCUGGUCCCCUGUGGAUGGCCCAUGGUGGCCUAGAGCUGUCUCUGCCAGGGGGCAUAUUUGUCUAAUUCCAUCAUGCAGUUUUAGGCAGUCCAUUUGCCUGUAGAUCGAGGCCAUGCCCUCCAACGGUGGCUUUAUCAGCAGUAAAACUUGCAGGUUUCAUCUCCCUUGUCUCAUUCACUGGCCCUUUCACAUUGCAACCAGCACCUCUGCUGGCUCCCAGGCUGCUCCGCUGGAGCUGAAAAGAAUGAAUACCCAUCUUCAGCAACUGUAUCUUUCCCCCUCUUAACUUAGGCUCGGGAAUCAAGCUUCCCCUAAAUAAUGAAUUGGACUUUAUUCUCUCUAACCAUACCAGCUCUCAAAACAUUGGAAGCCAGAUUUACUGGGUCCAAAUGUUUAUGUUUAUGGUUAGUUACAUCAAAGAGACUUUGUCAUUAGUAAAAGUGUUUUAAUUUAAGGCAGGAACUUGGUUAUGGCUCCUUGAAGACAUCUGCUUACAUUGCCUGGUGUCUAUCCCUGUAUCUGACACCCAGAGAGCUUAAUAAACAUUUUUAUUCCAUCAGUUUGGUUGAUUGAAUGAGCCUGGACUUUUUCCUUUGUAACUCUCCAAAGCACUGAGCUCUCAGCAAAACAGAACCAACCAAGAUGUGGCGCUGACUGACUCAACUGAACGUUUAUCCCCAGAGACUUCUGAUAGCGAUCCUACCUAUUCGAAUUGAAUCCAGCUCUUUAUGUUUUAAUUACUUCUUGUUAUUCUCAUUUUCUUUUCCCCAUCAUCCUAAUGUGUUUAACAUGUCUGUUUAUAUGUAUUUUCCAUAAAG
rnacentral:lncRNA from 1 species